UACUGGGUUUUGGUUGAGGUUCUUGACCUGAUUAUUGUUGAGCUAGUCUGAGGUUGGUUGCUUUGGACGUCAGCGAACCACACCUCAAUUUACUCAUUAUCAUCUAUGUCAAACAAAUCUUGGUUGUAUGUUAUUUUCCAACACCUAUGCUUUACGUUGGCUUGACAUUCUGUACAAAAAGUAGAGAGUUUUGGGGUUGCUCGAGAAAAAUGAGAAAAACAAAUGAAACAACAUGGUUUUGUUAAACUACUUUUAUACCUUUUUGAAUGAGUUUUGGAAUUCUUUUAUAUGCAGAGAAUGGCAUCUACUUAGCUUACUCCAACUUUCAUCCAUACUUGAUUGUGGAUGCGUCUCGUAUGAAGGAGCUGAAUCAUUGGGUCCUUGUUGACUAGUUGCUGAGGAGGGCAGAGCUAAAUGUUCAUGGGUGAGUCUUGAUGACAUCUCAAAUAUCGAAGUACGAGCAGAUUUAGAGACGUCACGUCAUCAAUGUAUAUAUGAAUUGCAACGGCUUCGCUCUUUGUAUGUAAUUUUACUUAUGCAGCUUUUUGAAGUUUUUGGUUCUUUGCAUCGUAAGUGUUUGGUUUCAAUGUUAUGGAAUUUUGAAGGACAUUAUAAUCUAGUUGAAGAUGGCUUUUUCAAGUUUUAGUUUGGAAAGAGAUGUGUAGGUGGUAUUAAUCUGCAGAAGAAAAAAAUAUUGGCCAAGGUCAAUGGUAACUAUGAUCUGGUUCUCUAAAGAGGUUUUGUUUGGUAUGUGCUGUGAGAUGUGACAAUCUUCUGUCAUCAACCCAACUUUUUUUUUUCCAUUAUUUUUUUUCCCUUUUAAUAUUUAUCCUACUUCUGCCCUCUCUUUCUGCAGUUUAUCUUCUAUAAAGAAAAAAAUGAAUAUGAUGAAUUUGAUAAGUCCUUUUAUGACAGUCUCUAAUAUUCUAUUCGUCACAUUUUGAUUAUUGUGGAUGUUUUUGCUGUGGGGUGAUAUAAUUUGAAUAUCUUGUUCUGUUGUGAUUUUUCUGUUAUUAAUUAAAUUGUGAGAGACCUCCGCCUCCUCUCUCUGUCUCAUGAGUCAUUGUUAUACACAUGACAAUCAGAUGUGUUAGAUUGAUCCUACUUCUGAAACAUUGUCACGAGAACAUCUAAUAUGCAAGUUCUUCAGCAUAUUAUGCAAUCAGGUUCAAUAAUUUUUUUUGUUAGAAGUUGUUUGUUAAACAAG